AUUCANCGGGGACCCCGCACAANGCGNUGGAGCAUGUGCUUUAAUUCGACCNCAACCNCCGAAGGAACCUUACCGNGGGGNUAAAANNAAAAGGUGCAAGCCCUGGAGGAGAAUCAGUCCCCCCGGGCAACCGGGCGGCUNAUUGAAAGNUGGCUGCCAUGGACNGUCCGUCCAGCCUCGUGGUCCNCGAAAANGNUNGGGUUAAAGUCCCCCGCAANGAGGGGCAAACCCUUACCNACUAAGUUGGCCNGCAUUUAGUUGGGCACUCUAGCGGAACUGCCGGUGAUAAAUCCGGAGGAAGGUGGGGAUGACGUCAAGUCAUCAUGGCCUCUAUGUCCAGGGCUACACACGUGCUACAAUGGCCGGUAUAAACCGCUGCGAACUCGCGAGAGGGAGCCAAUCGGAAAAAGCCGGUCUCAGUUCGGAUUGGAGUCUGCAACUCGACUCCAUGAAGUUGGAAUCGCUAGUAAUCGCGGAUCAGCACGCCGCGGUGAAUACGUUCCCGGGUCUUGUACACACCGCCCGUCACAUCACGAAAGCGGGCUGUANCUAGAAGUGGCUGCGCUAACUCGCAAGAUGGGGCAGGUCACGACGGUAUGGUUCGUGAUUGGGGUGAAGUCGUAANCAAGGUACC
rnacentral:rRNA from 1 species